rnacentral:misc_RNA from 1 species
CUGCGACUUGAGGAACUUUUGAGGUAAAUAAAAAAGGGAUUAGUGCCAGUAGAAUGCUGAAAAAUUAUUACAAGAAAUACAAUUUUGCAAUUGCAUUUAUCAAAUAUUGGAUACACUUCAUUUAUGACUAAUGCAUAUAUUCGAUGUACUUGCAAGCUCCUUAGAGGAUUGAAGUUUCAUUGGUUCAGAAACUCAAGGUCAAAUUGCAAUUUUAAUUGUUAAAGAAAAUGUAAUUAUAGUGACUGUCUUUAUGGAAUGAAAAUUUGGGAAAACUUUAACCAAACAUGAUGAAUGAAUAUGGAACUUUCUCUUAUUAUGUUUAAUACUGGAUUAGGAUUUAGGAAUCAUUGUCAUUGAGUUUUGUGCCCAUAUAAGAAUUUUUGAAGUUCAAACUUUAAACAAGUGUGGUUCAAUUCAC